GUCCUUUUGAAUUUAAUUUAAGGUCUGACCUGCCCAGUGAUGAAUUUAACGGCCGCGGUAUACUGACCGUGCAAAGGUAGCAUAAUCAUUAGUCUUUUAAUAGAGGGCUGGAAUGAACGGUUUCACGAGGAACUGACUGUCUCAUUUUAUUUGUUUUAAAAUUUAAUUUUUUAGUUAAAAAGCUAAAAUUUCGUUGGAAGACGAGAAGACCCUAUAGAUCUUUAUAUGAAUUUUUGUAUUUAUUUAUUUAUUAACAUAAUUACAAUAAAAUCGUAUUUUGUUGGGGUGACAAAAAUAUAUAAUCAACUUUUUCAUUUAUUUACCAUUGAUAUAUGAAUAUUAGAUCCAUUAUUAGUGAUUGAUAGACUAAGUUACCUUAGGGAUAACAGCGUAAUCCUCCUCCAGAGUUCAUAUUUACAGGAGGGCUUGCGACCUCGAUGUUGGAUUAAGAUAAUAAUUAGGUGUAGCCGCUUAAUUUAUAGGUCUGUUCGACCUUUAAAUUCUU
rnacentral:rRNA from 1 species